rnacentral:rRNA from 1 species
AUUGAACGCUGGCGGCAUGCUUUACGCAUGCAAGUCGAACGGUAACAGGGUGCUUGCACCGCUGACGAGUGGCGAACGGGUGAGUAAUGCGUCGGAACGUGCCAAGUAGGGGGGGAUAACGCAGCGAAAGUUGUGCUAAUACCGCAUACGUACUGAGGUAGAAAGUGGGGGACCUUCGGGCCUCACGCUAUUCGAGCGGCCGACGUCUGAUUAGCUAGUAGGUGAGGUAAAGGCUCACCUAGGCGACGAUCAGUAGCGGGGCUGAGAGGAUGGUCCGCCACACUGGGACUGAGACACGGCCCAGACUCCUACGGGAGGCAGCAGUGGGGAAUUUUGGACAAUGGGCGAAAGCCUGAUCCAGCCAUGCCGCGUGUCUGAAGAAGGCCUUCGGGUUGUAAAGGACUUUUGUCAGGGAGGAAAUCCCUAGUGCUAAUAACACUGGGGGAUGACAGUACCUGAAGAAUAAGCACCGGCUAACUACGUGCCAGCCGCCGCCGUAA